rnacentral:lncRNA from 1 species
UGUAAUUCUGCAGUAGCAACAUUACUAUUUCUCUAACUUUUGUUGACAUGAAAAAUUAGAUGACUUAUAGUUUUCAAAUUGAGCAGAUACUUUUCCCGGUGAUAUCUUUUUCAUUUAAAAAUUUUCAAGAAAAAAAUUGAUAAACAUUUGUAUGUUAGGGAGUCAUGCUGUGAGGUGAUCUAUUUUCCUUGUGGCAUCUUUCAACUUCCAGGUAAUUUAUUGAGUAAGAAUUGGGGAAAGUUAUCAAAUUCUUUAAUGUUGUUGCGAAAUUGGCAGUGAAAUUUAAGUUCAAUCUUAAGGUAAGUUUUUCACUGUUAUUCUUUUUGUUGUCUGUACUACAUUUGAGAAAAUAUGGUCACAGCAAGCUGUGGAAGGUGAAAAAAAAUUAAGUUGCAAAUUUAGAAUAUUGAGCACGCCGGAUCAGGCCAAAAAAUUGACUUUAGCUUCCCCAAUUUCCAAGCCCUUCAGGUACAAUUCCACUUUCUUUAUAGAACCUUAAAAUAUUGGGUCGCUUUUUCUUGACAAAAUGGUUGUUAUCAUACUCAUAACAAUUGUUACUCUGGAAUUGGGGAGGAGAAUCAUACAAGUAUAGGCUUAUGCUGCUUGAGAUCAAUUAGGUGAUCUAUAUACUCAUAUAAUAUCAUGUAAUAUGACUAAACUCUACUUUAGAGUUCCUGUAGUGUGUGGCUUUUCCCUCUGGAUGUUGAUUUCUUAAUAUGGCACUGUGUGAUUGUUUGAGUAUCAUGAGGUUGAAUGUAAACAGAAUAGUUUAUGUAGAACCAUUUUAAUUGCAUUUGGUAGUUCCUGAAAGCUUUUAGCUCAACCACAAUAAUUUUGCAAGGUAUUGCGCACAUCUAUCUGUUCUUUAUAGAGUCAAGUGGAAAGGAGAACAUGACCCUUUGUAGUCUAAUUUUCUUUUGCCUUACAGGAACAUGAUGGGCUAAUUGUUUGAACAACAAUUAUUUUUGCAAGUAAGAUAGCUAGUAAGAUAUUAACCGGACACUAUAUCAGGUGAGUGUUUUAAGUAUCUAGCACUAUUUAUUUCGGACUCUCAUAUCUGUGUGAACAUCUUUUUGACAAAUGCAGGGAUUGUUUCAAAGAAAAAAACAUAUAACCUUGAGAUCAUCUUGGGUUAUUUCUUUGUAAUCUGAAGACAUUAGGUUAUUUCUCCUAGACAUGAACCUAUUUUUUACAUGAAAAGUUUCUUUGUCACGAUCAAGAACCUAUUUUUCCUAGACAUGAUCAUCUUGGGUUGUUUCUUUGUCAACUCUGUGUAGACCUAUCAUGAUGGAAAGUUUCCAUUGUUGGAACCUAUGGAUUCGAUCACCUACAACAGAUAAUGAUGAUGAUCUUUUGACGUACAAUAUCAUUUAUAAUAUAAUUAUUCAAAAAGCCUUUGCAUGGAUAGAUCCCUUGGAUGGGCCCAAAUUCUGAUGAUGUGCCAUGGUUCCUUAUUCAUAUUUCAUAGAAGGUUGACUCCAACUUCGUACAGUGAUAGCAGUUGCUCCAUUUUUACUGUUGAGGUAUUUCACUUCUAUUUGUUUUAUUAUCAUCUUAAUUUACCUUGUGCAUAAUUCGAAUUGUGAAGGAUCUUAUAGAUUUCUUCUGAAUGUAAGUUGGUCUUCCAUUAGUUUUUGAUACACGAAGUUCACCAAUAAAUUAUGAGAUAAAAUCUGAAGUAACCACUAGAUUUAGUUGGCAAACACACAGUCCACUUUUAACUGUAGAACCUCAAUCUGAUUGAGUAUAGCCCAUAUAUACCUAGGUUUGUUUAAGAAUACAUGGGUAUAACUUUUUAGUGCUUUCUAUCAUGUUCCUCGAUUUUGCCAGAGAUUUGAAGCUGCUUUCAUUUGUUACCUUGUGUAUUUCUCAUUCAUAACCGAUUUUUUCUUUUUAGAGUUUUUGCCCCAAGAUGCAAUGAAGGCAUAUUAAUUUGGUGUUUUUCUCUGUAUGUUGUGGUAAAGUAUCAUUUAUACUAUUGAUAUGGACCUGAAAUAUUGUGUGUUCUUAUAUUAAAUUUGAUAACCACUGUGUGCAUCAAUUAAAAUCUGCUAAUUCUCAUGACUUGCUUCUAAAUCCUCCUUUUAAUUCAAACACAAUAUUUUUAGGUUAACUAUGUUCUUGAGGCCCUGGUUGUACUACAUCCCCAUUGUCUCUUAUCGUUUCAUAUUAGCUAAUUUUAUUGGAUGGUGAUAAAGUUUGACAGAUAUGUUAUACGUGAAAUAUUAAAUAGACCAGAGUUAUCGUCCCAGCAUAUAAAUUGGAGACAUGGCAUAUUGGAUUCUGCAAGAAAUGUCGUCGAGAAGAGCAGCUAAAUGAAUCUAUAUCUUAGUCACAUUGUAGUAUUUAAUUUUAAUAGAAGGGAUACGCAAAACAGGGCCACUUGGAAAGGUUGUACUCUUAUUUGAGAUGUUUGAGGUGUAGAUUUAUAAAAUACUGGAAUUCCAAUACAGCAACAUAGAGAUAUUAUGCAAGAUGUAAGGGUUUGGAGUUCUCCCAAACAAUGUUGUAUGUAUAUGAUCUUGUGAAGUAUCGCUGCUCUUAUUAGCCUAAGAGGCUCCUUGGCCAUUCAACAUUUCUAAUCAAAUUUCAUUUCAAAUUC